GCCCCCGUAGCUUAACGGAAGAGCGGUUCGCUUCGAACGAAUCAGGUAUGGGUUCAAGUCCUAUCGGGGGCCCCA
rnacentral:tRNA from 1 species